UUUCAAUCAAGACGUAGCAAUUACAGUAAAGUUUCAAAAGCUUUCAUACAAUUUUUUGCUUCUCAUGUAAAAUUUUGUUUCAUGCAAUUAUACCAUUUUGUACAUCAGCCCCUAAAUGAUAUUAUUAAUUUCUUUUCUCAACAUC